rnacentral:rRNA from 1 species
GACGAAGGGGGCUAGCGUUGUUCGGAAUUACUGGGCGUAAAGCGUGUGUAGGUGGUUGCCAUAGUCAGGUGUGAAAGCCUUGAGCUCAACUCAAGAAACGCACUUGAUACUGGGCAGCUAGAGGACCGGAGAGGAUAGUGGAAUUCCCAGUGUAGUGGUGAAAUACGUAGAGAUUGGGAAGAACACCAGUGGCGAAGGCGGCUAUCUGGACGGUUUCUGACACUAAGACACGAAAGCGUGGGGAGCAAACAGG